GAAAAGAAGUGCAACAUCUUUAUCUUAACAGAAAGGGCUACUACAGUUUAAACGUGAUGAUUCUUUGUGAUUAUAAAAUGUCUAUUCGGUAUGUGGAUGCUAGGCAUGCAGGCGCAAAUCAUGACUCUUUUGUUUUCAAUGUUAGCGAUUUGAAAGUGCAUUUACAGAACAACAUACAGAAUAACACUUGGAUCUUGGGCGACGCUGGCUAUCCUCUGCACAAAUUUUUAAUGACGCCUUAUC